GCAAGUCGAACGAGAAAGCACUUCGGUGUGAGUACAGUGGCGGACGGGUGAGUAACGCGUAGGAAUCUACCCAGUAGUUGGGGACAACCCGAGGAAACUCGGGCUAAUACCGAAUAUGCUCUCUUUCUUAGGAAUUGGAGUAAAGAAGGCCUCUAUUUAUAAGCUUUCGCUAUUGGAGGAGCCUGCGUAGGAUUAGUUUGUUGGUGGGGUAAUGGCCUACCAAGACUACGAUCCUUAGCUGGUCUAAGAGGACGAUC
rnacentral:rRNA from 1 species